rnacentral:rRNA from 1 species
UUGCUAGCUUGCUAAUAAUUCUCUAGUGGCGCACGGCUGAGUAACACGUGAGUAACCUGCCCCCGAGAGCGGGAUAGCCCUGGGAAACUGGGAUUAAUACCGCAUAGUAUCGAAAGAUUAAAGCAGCAAUGCGCUUGGGGAUGGGCUCGCGGCCUAUUAGUUAGUUGGUGAGGUAACGGCUCACCAAGGCGAUGACGGGUAGCCGGUCUGAGAGGAUGUCCGGCCACACUGGAACUGAGACACGGUCCAGACACCUACGGGUGGCAGCAGUCGAGAAUCAUUCACAAUGGGGGAAACCCUGAUGGUGCGACGCCGCGUGGGGGAAUGAAGGUCUUCGGAUUGUAAACCCCUGUCAUGUGGGAGCAAAUUAAAAAGAUAGUACCACAAGAGGAAGAGACGGCUAACUCUGUGCCAGCAGCCGCGGUAAUACAGAGGUCUCAAGCGUUGUUCGGAAUCACUGGGCGUAAAGCGUGCGUAGGCUGUUUCGUAAGUCGUGUGUGAAAGGCGCGGGCUCAACCCGCGGACGGCACAUGAUACUGCGAGACUAGAGUAAUGGAGGGGGAACCGGAAUUCUCGGUGUAGCAGUGAAAUGCGUAGAUAUCGAGAGGAACACUCGUGGCGAAGGCGGGUUCCUGGACAUUAACUGACCCUGAGGCACGAAGGCCAGGGGAGCGAAAGGGAUUAGAUACCCCUGUAGUCCUGGCAGUAAACGGUGCACGCUUGGUGUGCGGGGAAUCGACCCCCUGCGUGCCGGAGCUAACGCGUUAAGCGUGCCGCCUGGGGAGUACGGUCGCAAGAUUAAAACUCAAAGAAAUUGACGGGGACCCGCACAAGCGGUGGAGUAUGUGGCUUAAUUUCGAUGCACGCGAAGAACCUUACCUGGGCUUGA